GGAAACCUUCUUUUAUUGAGAGAUUCCUCAGGUUUCACAACCUAAAAUUCUCCCUUUGUUGCAAUUCUUCUAUAUGAAUGUGUGUAUGUUUUCUCUCUUUUUGGUUCUUUCUUGUGUGGAAAUGACUUCGUUAAUGUUGGUUAAUUAGUAAAUGUUUAGUGCCUAUAAGAAUGGAGCACCAUUAUGGGUUGACGCAACCCCCAUAGCUAGCAGAAAGUAAAUUCUUACACGUCAAAUUUGAAUUCUUAAUUGUAAGAGAUCUCUGCUCAAAUGUGGCUGUUUUUGGGAAAAUAUUAAAUCCUUUUCUGAAAAUAUUCUUUAAGAGAUCUUUUUCAAUGUGGCUUUUGCAUUGUGAGGAUUAAUCAUGAAUUGACUAGUUUUACGCUGGUUGGCCGCAUACUGCAACCCUCCUUUAUCCGAGCUUAGAUCCGGCAAUGCGACCAAGUUCAUAUAGGCAGAGUUUGGACUCAUAUAGCCGAUCCCAUUUGCUUGGGGCUAAGGCGUAGUUGUUGUUUCUAUAUGGCUUUUGUAGAGCAACUUAUCCGAAACUGCUCUAUUCCAGUUCUGAAUAUAAUAAUAAGAGAUCUAUUGCAGCUCAAAAUGUGGCUGUCGCAUUGCAACUUAUUCAAACACUCUAACGAUUGAGAAUAUGCUGAAAUGAGAGUUUUAUAAAGCAGUAUGAACCUUGUGGGCCUUGUAACAACUUUGAUUCCGUUUUUGUUUUCAUUUUGACACAAUUUCUUUGAUUCUUAGCGCAUCUUACAUUUUUACAUAUAUUUGUGGACAUGUUUUCUAUUUUCUAACUUCGGGCUUUUGUUUUUGUAUUGCAAAGGGUUGCACUUUGAAUAUGCUUGUAAUGGAAAGAAGUAAUACAGCAGUGCUUUGUUCUCCAAGGCUUCAAGGUGUGGUCAUGUUGGAUACAAUAUGAAGGUUGUGUUCCAACCCAUGUGAUGUUCUAGGUAUGAACGCUUCGAUCCCCAUUCAAAUCUUCCUGCCUUCUCCAUCGUUAAAAUAAAAGUGGAAAGGAAAAAGAGACCGUUGCAUUUCUUUAUUGGUAAGCUCUUAAAUCAAUUGUUAAAACCAAUCAAGGCCACGAAGGGCAAUUACUUCUUUACUAUCAUUACGAUGUGUGCAAGGAUGUAUUCAUGAGUAGGUUAAUUUGCUCUGUUUAACACAAUUCUAGUUAAUCUCUUUCUAUUUUCCUACUUCUUUUGUGUUGAUGUGGUGUCCUUCCAGCUUGCACGCGCUAAUCCACCAGACAACUUGCUAUAAGCCACAUGCACAGGUGAUGAUUACUCCCUAUCUGUCUCUAUCCACAAAUACUAGUUAGUCUUCUGUCGUGACUAUUAGGUUGAAGCAAAUACUUAAUGUAAAAACCUGAUAAUUCCUGGUCUACAAUUUCGUUGCUGCCUUGCUGGCAGCCAAGGUUCUCAUACCUGCAUUUACUCUUGGAAUAGCUCCGUUUUAUAUCCCCUAGCUACUGCUGUGAUAACUUAAGCGGCUCAAGGGAGGAGGGGGUAUGCGAACAAAAUAUUGCCUGAAGUAUUAGUUGAGAUUUAAACUUAUGUCAUUUUAAUUUACAAGUAUCCAUGAGUGGCGUGGUCAUUUUGUCUAAACUGAAUAGCUUGUAUGAAAUUGAUCAAAGUCUAAGCUGGUCAAUGUCAUUUGGCAUAUUAGAUGCAGGCAUAUCAUUAUAUGAAAUAUCAAUGAAAAAACAUUUACCAGCAUUCUUGCAGAUAAAGAUGCUUGUGUGUCUGCACGAAUAUAACUCACAUAUAUAUAGAUACGUGUUGAAAGAACAGAGUUGUUUCUCCUUUUGUUAUGUGCAUUUCCAGCACCCACAUAGUGCUGGACGUCUCUUAUAUAGAUAGAUGUCAUGUCAUUCCAAUAAGAGAGUGUUAUUAAAGGUAAAAUGGGAAUGAUAGAAAGGUGUCAAUCUUUUUGGAGAGGGCUAAAAGGGAAAGAGUGUCAUAUAAAGUAAAAUGGAGGGAGUAUUAUUAUUUACGUUUGUGGUAUAAUUGACAAACUGGAUCAAUUAACUAAUUCGCUUGUUCCUAACUCUUUCCCCUUCCCCUGAUGUAUACACUGACUGUAGUUCACACAAUUUGAUCUCCCUCGCAAUAUAAGAUAGUUAUGUAAGUUCAUACAAUUUGGUUCCCUUUUGCAAUAUAAAAUGUGUAUGUAAAGUAUCUAAUAUCUGUUUUUAACAUUAUCCAACAGGAACUUUGUUUGCUGCUUGAUGGCUAUUGAGACGAAUUUGCCAAAAAAUCCUAUUUAUUUUUCAGCAGGUUCUCUCUUAAUCUCCUUUACUUCUUUUUAUUAUAUCUUUGAGGAAUUCUUGGCCCUUCUUGAUUCAUAUUAAAGAGACGAAUUAUGUCCAUUAUUCUUUUACGCAAGGCCUGCUCUCCUAGUCCUUCUAAUAGAUUCUGCUUUGUUAGAUGUGGUUUGGCUAGACGAUGGGGACACGUCGAUGUCAACUAAAACACCCAGCAGAAUCUGGUUUGAUGAGAACCCUGCUAGGUUUUUUUCUUUCUCAUUUCCUCCUAAAUUGGUAUAGUUUCAUUCUAUACAAGGUGUUUCUUAUCUCUAUCUACUUGUACGCCAUUCUAGUCCUUUAACCCUUUGGUUUUCUUUCAAGUUUCAAGGAUUUCAUGGUGAAUUUUCAUGCUGAAUGACUCCUAGAAAUAAUCAAUUGAUAUUGUUGGCUUAUGAUGAUGAUAUAGUAGUAAUACGAAAGUUUCUGAUAUUUUCUUUUCCAUCUCAAAAGUAUUAUCUAUUUGUUUUCUUUUGGAGUACUUCCGAUCCAGUUAUGUGUCUUGUAUUAUCUAUUUGUUUUCUUUUGGAGUACUUCCGAUCCAGUUAUGUGUCUUCUUCUGUUGUUACCUUUCUAAUGUAGUAAUUGAUCUUUCAAAGAAUCUAACUUUGCCUGUUUAUUGGAUGCUUGUGCCAGAUUCAUCAAACCUUUUACUACACACCCUGAUCUGAGGAAACCGUGUAUCUUGUCUAGUUUCUGUCACGCAAGGAUUAAUACUCGGUACAUAGCGGUAAGCCCAAGAUGGUGUUACUUAAAGAGAAUUGAAUUAGAUCUGCAGAUUCAGUAUGUAAUCCUGCUUAUAUGAGUGUCUCCAUUCCGUAAUCUACGUUGAAGCUGGUGUAUCGUACGCAUUUCUAAGAAGUUCUUUCUGCCCAAGCUGCAAGUUUAUGGUUUCAGGAGUUGACAUGGAAUUAGUUGAUUGUAUGUGAGAAUCAAGUCUUUUUAAGUAUGUACUCGCAUGCCAAAAAGAAACAGUACCAAAGAAUUUGUCCAUCAGAAAUGUUGAAGUGUGUGACCGUCUCAUCUAAAAGCUUAAGCUGUUAGAGAGAGAGCACUUCUAUUUACUUAAUUAUGUCUUCAACAAGAAAGAGCUUAUGAUCACAUAGGAGCAGAAUAUCAUGAAGUUCAGUUUGCUCACUGUUGAGAGGGGCUUGAUACCAUGAGCUCAGAAGUGUAGCUCUGUCACUAGGAGAAAAUGCAUCUCUUUCUCUUAAUAAAGGUUGGUUUUAUUAAUGUUGUUAAUCUCUCGAAUGAUUAGUUGAGAUCAUCUUUAGUUGCAAUCAAUUUAAUAAUUUUUCUAGUUUAAAGUGGAAUGCCCUC
rnacentral:lncRNA from 1 species